UACAGAGGUCUCAAGCGUUGUUCGGAUUCAUUGGGCGUAAAGGGUGCGUAGGCGGCGCGGUAAGUCGGGUGUGAAAUCUCGGGGCUUAACUCCGAAACUGCAUUCGAUACUGCCGUGCUUGAGGACUGGAGAGGAGACUGGAAUUUACGGUGUAGCGGUGAAAUGCGUAGAUAUCGUAAGGAAGACCAGUGGCGAAGGCGGGUCUCUGGUUGGAUACUGACGCUGAUACGCGAAAGCGUGGGGAGCAAACAGG
rnacentral:rRNA from 1 species